UUUUAGAGUUUGAUCCUAGCUCAGGAUGAACGCUGGCGGCGUGGAUAAGGCAUGCAAGUCGAAAGGGUUUAGACCCUUGGCGAACGAGGUAGUAACACGUAGGUACGCACCCUUUAGUUGAGCAUAACCCCGCGAAAGCGAGGACAAUUCUCAAUGGUUUCCGAGAGUAAAAUCGAGGAAUAAAGAUUUAUCGCUAAAGGAGCGGCCUGCGACCUAUCAGCUAGUUGGUGAGGUAAUGGCUUACCAAGGCUAUGACGGGUAGGGGGAGUGAGAGCUCGAUCCCCACCGAUGGAACUGAGAAACGGUCCAUACACCUACGGGUGGCCGCAGUCGAGAAUCUUCCGCAAUGGGCGAAAGCCUGACGGAGC
rnacentral:rRNA from 1 species